GAUUAACGCUGGCGGCGUGCAUAACACAUGCAAGUCGAACGAUGAAACUUUAAUGAACCCUUCGGGGAGAAUUAAAGCGGAUUAGUGGCGAACGGGUGAGUAACGCGUGAGUAACCUGCCUUACACAAGGGGAUAGCCUUUGGAAACGAAGAAUAAUACCCUAUAAAACCAUAAAAGCACAUGCAAUUAUGGUCAAAGUGAUAGCGGUGUAAGAUGGACUUGCGUCUGAUUAGCUAGUUGGUGAGAUAAAAGCCCACCAAGGCAACGAUCAGUAGCCGGCUUGAGAGAGUGUACGGCCACAUUGGGACUGAGACACGGCCCAGACUCCUACGGGAGGCAGCAGUGGGGAAUUUUGCACAAUGGGGGAAACCCUGAUGCAGCGACGCCGCGUGAUUUAGAAGGCCUUCGGGUUGUAAAAAUCUUUUGUAUAGGAAGAAAAGGACAGUACUAUACGAAUAAGGUCCGGCUAAUUACGU
rnacentral:rRNA from 1 species